rnacentral:lncRNA from 12 species
GAAAGACUUGCCUUAUUUAAUAUUCUGAAGAAAUCUCUACUAUGACAUAUUUCUACCUGGGAAGCACUCUUGCCAGCUUCACAGGCCUCAGUAGGUGGCUAACAAUUUACUUCCAUUGUGCUGGAAGUUCCAUUUUCUGUCCUGUCUCAGUUACCCAUCUCUGCUCAUCAUACACUGUUGGACUUGCUCAAGUUUCCUUUGAGACACCCAGAG